rnacentral:rRNA from 1 species
GACGAACGCUGGCGGCGUGCUUAACACAUGCAAGUCGAACGGAAAGGCCCUGCUUUUGUGGGGUGCUCGAGUGGCGAACGGGUGAGUAACACGUGAGUAACCUGCCCUUGACUUUGGGAUAACUUCAGGAAACUGGGGCUAAUACCGGAUAGGAGCUCCUGCUGCAUGGUGGUGGUUGGAAAGUUUCGGCGGUUGGGGAUGGACUCGCGGCUUAUCAGCUUGUUGGUGGGGUAGUGGCUUACCAAGGCUUUGACGGGUAGCCGGCCUGAGAGGGUGACCGGCCACAUUGGGACUGAGAUACGGCCCAGACUGCUACGGGAGGCAGCAGUGGGGAAUAUUGCACAAUGGGCGGAAGCCUGAUGCAGAAACGCAGCGUGCGGGAUGACGGCCUUCGGGUUGUAAACCGCUUUCGCAUGUGACGAAGCGUGAGUGACGGUAAUGGGUAAAGAAGCACCGGCUAACUACGUG